GAUGAACGCUGGCGGCGUGCUUAACACAUGCAAGUCGAACGGUGAAGCCAAGCUUGCUUGGUGGAUCAGUGGCGAACGGGUGAGUAACACGUGAGCAACCUGCCCUGGACUCUGGGAUAAGCGCUGGAAACGGCGUCUAAUACUGGAUAUGAGACGUGAUCGCAUGGUCGUGUUUGGAAAGAUUUUUCGGUCUGGGAUGGGCUCGCGGCCUAUCAGCUUGUUGGUGAGGUAAUGGCUCACCAAGGCGUCGACGGGUAGCCGGCCUGAGAGGGUGACCGGCCACACUGGGACUGAGACACGGCCCAGACUCCUACGGGAGGCAGCAGUGGGGAAUAUUGCACAAUGGGCGGAAGCCUGAUGCAGCAACGCCGCGUGAGGGAUGACGGCCUUCGGGUUGUAAACCUCUUUUAGCAGGGAAGAAGCGAAAGUGACGGUACCUGCAGAAAAAGCGCCGGCUAACUACGUGCCAGCAGCCGCGGUAAUACGUAGGGCGCAAGCGUUAUCCGGAAUUAUUGGGCGUAAAGAGCUCGUAGGCGGUUUGUCGCGUCUGCUGUGAAAUCCCGAGGCUCAACCUCGGGCCUGCAGUGGGUACGGGCAGACUAGAGUGCGGUAGGGGAGAUUGGAAUUCCUGGUGUAGCGGUGGAAUGCGCAGAUAUCAGGAGGAACACCGAUGGCGAAGGCAGAUCUCUGGGCCGUAACUGACGCUGAGGAGCGAAAGGGUGGGGAGCAAACAGGCUUAGAUACCCUGGUAGUCCACCCCGUAAACGUUGGGAACUAGUUGUGGGGACCAUUCCACGGUUUCCGUGACGCAGCUAACGCAUUAAGUUCCCCGCCUGGGGAGUACGGCCGCAAGGCUAAAACUCAAAGGAAUUGACGGGGACCCGCACAAGCGGCGGAGCAUGCGGAUUAAUUCGAUGCAACGCGAAGAACCUUACCAAGGCUUGACAUAUACGAGAACGGGCCAGAAAUGGUCAACUCUUUGGACACUCGUAAACAGGUGGUGCAUGGUUGUCGUCAGCUCGUGUCGUGAGAUGUUGGGUUAAGUCCCGCAACGAGCGCAACCCUCGUUCUAUGUUGCCAGCACGUAAUGGUGGGAACUC
rnacentral:rRNA from 9 species